UACGUAGGGUGCAAGCGUUGUCCGGAAUUAUUGGGCGUAAAGAGCUCGUAGGCGGUUUGUCGCGUCUGCUGUGAAAACUCGGGGCUUAACCCCGGGCCUGCAGUGGGUACGGGCAGACUAGAGUGCGGUAGGGGAGACUGGAAUUCCUGGUGUAGCGGUGAAAUGCGCAGAUAUCAGGAGGAACACCGGUGGCGAAGACGGGUCUCUGGGCCGUAACUGACGCUGAGGAGCGAAAGCUAGGGGAGCAAACGGG
rnacentral:rRNA from 1 species